AACCAGAGCUGGUUGAACCUUGAACGAAAGUGUUAAAAAAUGUAACCGCAUGUUUACGAAUCAAUUUUGUUUCGGGCGUAAAUGGAAAAAAAGUCUGCUUGAUACAAUCAGUUUCUGGUACGAGUAAGUUAUUAUUACUUUUCCCGCAAGACGGAAAUUGCCAAGAAGUGGAUUUCCAGUGGAGGGGGCCUCAUUGAACACAAAUGAUCAUCCCUAGUUAUGACAACAAAUGGAUAAUCCUGCAAUGACUACUAAUACAAAUGAUUAAUAAUUAUCACCAUACAGAUCGUAAUGAAUGGAAAGCUGUUGUGUGCAUGUUCACAGAUUUAUUCUCUGCUUCUAGUCCAUCUUAAAAUGAAAAACCACCUUGCUGUAUGGAUUGUCCAAAGGUGGCGAUGAAUGUCCAAAUUGUCGUUGUCGGAUUCACCACCAGACGGCAAAAAAUCUAACUGGACUUUGGACUUGGAGGUUGGGAAACUUGGGAUGGGAUUUCAGAUGCGUCCAGUGCCAGUACGCCUACGUCACGAUUGACAUCAUGCCGAAAUCAAAUUUCUCAUCGGCUACAAAGUUGACGUGGGUGUUAUGGCGAAGCACUAAAGCCGCCUAAAAUACUUCGAUGUGCAUCAAAAGACAAAUGAUUCAAAUAUUGUGUUGCUGGUGAGCUAUUUAUGGUUGUGCCACAACUUCACAGCCUAUCAGUUAAAAGAUAGUUGAAAUAAUAGAGAUUUGAAGAAUUGCAGUCCAACAUUGUGUUUUUAUACAAGUUGUCAGUUGUGAUGUAAUCAUCUACUGAUGCAAGAUCAACUUGCAUCAGUAGAAAAAAAACCUGGCCCCUAUAAUGGCCGGCAGGAUGCGAUUGAUAAAUCAAAAGGUCGUCGGCACUCGACACCUCUUCGACAUCAGUGUAGCGCGGAAAUACAAAGUGGAGUGGAGUGAAGCGUUGAGCUGAAAGUAUGGCGAUCGACUCGCUAGUAGGUGUAGGACGACCGUGAUCAAAAUGAUAAUGAGAUGAUGACGUAGACGAAGUUACCACUUUUUGGUAUUUGCCCAUAGCCGAUUUGUAUCCGAGCUCCGACAAUCUUGACAACAGCAUCUGAAUUCUCCUAGCUGGUUUUCUGUGACAGAUAUGCCUCACAGUAUGUGUAAUCAUUUUUCUUUGACAGGGUAUGUCUGCCAGAUUAUGUUGAAGCUGUUAUCUGAUGCCGUCCAAUGCAGAACAUUUUGACUUGCUAACUGAAUUUUCCAACUGUUGGUUGAUGUUUGGGGUAUGCCUGAAAUUACCUAUGGUGUACAAUGUGCUGAUAAUGUUCCUGCCUGUCACCUGGUUUAAAAAUUUCUUGAACAGAACAGAAUUAAUGUUGCUGGUUAUUUUCCA
rnacentral:lncRNA from 1 species